UACGAAGGGGGCUAGCGUUGCUCGGAAUCACUGGGCGUAAAGCGCACGUAGGCGGCUUCUUAAGUCAGGGGUGAAAUCCUGGAGCUCAACUCCAGAACUGCCUUUGAUACUGGGAGGCUCGAGUCCGGAAGAGGUGAGUGGAACUGCGAGUGUAGAGGUGAAAUUCGUGGAUAUUCGCAAGAACACCAGUGGCGAAGGCGGCUCACUGGCCCGGUACUGACGCUGAGGCACGAAAGCGUGGGGAGCAAACAGG
rnacentral:rRNA from 1 species